rnacentral:rRNA from 1 species
CAGCAGCCGCGGUAAUACGAAGGGGGCUAGCGUUGCUCGGAAUCACUGGGCGUAAAGGGUGCGCAGGCGGGUCUUUAAGUCAGGGGUGAAAUCCUGGAGCUCAACUCCAGAACUGCCUUUGAUACUGAAGAUCUUGAGUUCGGGAGAGGUGGGUGGAACUGCGAGUGUAGAGGUGAAAUUCGUAGAUAUUCGCAAGAACACCAGUGGCGAAGGCGGCUCACUGGCCCGAUACUGACGCUGAGGCACGAAAGCGUGGGGAGCAACCAGGAUUAGAUACCCCGGUAGUCCCUGUCUCUUAUAC